rnacentral:rRNA from 1 species
UGGGUAACCUGCCUCAAAGAGGGGAAUAGCCUCCCGAAAGGGAGAUUAAUACCGCAUAAUAUGUUUAGGUCGCAUGACUUUAACAUCAAAGGAUUUUCUUUUAGAAAUUCCACUUUGAGAUGGACCCGCGGCGCAUUAGCUAGUUGGUGAGGUAACGGCUCACCAAGGCAACGAU